rnacentral:tRNA from 1 species
AGCUCGUAGCUCAGCUGGUACAGCAUGCGCCUACAAUGCGUAAGCGGCGUCCAUGCGUGGGUUCGAAUCCCACCUGGGCUA